AUGUAGCGAGCUGAGUGGGGAGGAGAGAGGGACAGAGAGCCUGCUUGCUUUAAAGGAACCAACCAGACAGGAGCCACUUACACUCCUCUCCCGCUUUGCUCCUUUAAAGAAGCAGGCUCUCUGUCCCUCUCUCCUCCCCACUCAGCGGCUCUUCUC
rnacentral:miRNA from 1 species